rnacentral:rRNA from 1 species
CGGAAUGGACAUACCUCUGGUGUAUCUGUUGUAACGCCAGUUGCAGUGCAGAGUAGCUAUGUAUGGACGGGAUAACCGCUGAAAGCAUCUAAGCGGGAAGCCUCCUCCAAGAUGAAUUUUCCCAUUUUUCGUGAAGUAAGAUCCCUUGUAGACUACAAGGUUGAUAGGCUGGAGAUGGAAGCGUAGUGAUACGUUGAGUUGACCAGUACUAAUAGAUCGAGGAUUUAACUUAUUU